UCCUUCCAUAUCCUUUAUAUAGCUUG
rnacentral:piRNA from 1 species